ensembl:lncRNA
UUUUUUUUUUGUUUUUGAGACGAAAUUUCUCUGGUUGUCCAGGCUGGAGUGCAAGUGGUGCUGGUCUGGAACUCUUGACCUCAGGUGAUCCACCCAUCUCGGCCUCCCAAAGUGCUGGGAUUACGUGAGCCACAGCACCCAGCCAGAGGUAUUCUUUAUUUUUCAGUCUCCCUCAGACCUGAAGGUCAGCUCUAAGAGGGCAGGGACCACGCAGCCCUGCUCACUGGCUGUACCCUUGUGCUUAGCAAUGCCUGACAUGUAUUUCUGUGCUCAAUUAUGUGCGCCAGGACCUGAGGUCACAGUGGUGAAGAUGACACUACACUUAACACCCUCCAAUUCAAACCUUUGCCAAAAUGUGCUCCCUAUCUCCGUAAAUAGCUCUUUACCAAGGCCUUUCUGAUAUCUCAGUAAGCUGUGCUGAUAUUCCACAUCAGCUCCCUCUUGAAAUCAGACCCCAAACCCUACCACUUCCCAUGAUCCUGCUAAAAGUUAAGUUGGUGGCCGGAGGCGGUGGCUUACGCCUGUAAUCCUAGCACUUUGGGAGGCCAAGGCGGGCGGAUCACAAGGUCAGGAGAUCGAGACCAUCCUGGCCAACAUGGUAAAACCCCGUCUCUACUAAAAAUAGAAAAAAAUAGCUGGGUGGCACGUGCCUGUAAUCCCAGCUACUCAGGAGGCUGAGGCAGGAGAAUUGCUUGAACCAGGGAGUCGGAGGUUGCAAUGACACGAGAUCGCACCACUGCACUCCAGCCUGGCGACAGAGCGAGUCUCCGUCACCAAAAAAAAAAAACCAACCAAACAAACAAACAAAAAAACCUGUUAAGUUGGACCCCUUACUCUUCCAAGGGCCUCCCCACUCAUUCAGAGCGAAUUCUGCAGUCUCCACGGCCCUCCCUGGUCUGGCCCCUGACCAUCUCCUGCCUCUCUCCUCCCAGCUGCUGUCCCCUUGGUACCGCCGGCCUCCUGAGGGCCAAGUUCCUGGGUUCUCGUAAUCAUCUUCUACCUGGUCUCUGUGACUCCGCCCUUAAGCGCACCCACCCCCUCCCAGCCCGCAGCUGCAGGGAUCCUUUAAAAACUGCCCGGGCCGGGCGCGGUGGCUCAAGCCUGUAAUCCCAGCACUUUGGGAGGCUGAGACGGGCGGAUCAUGAGGUCAGGAGAUCGAGACCAUCCUGGCUAACCCAGUGAAACCCCGUCUCUACUAAAAAAUACAAAAAAUUAGCCGGGCGUGUUGGCGGGCGCCUGUAGUCCCAGCCACGCGGGAGGCUGAGGCAGGAGAAUGGCGUGAACCCGGGAGGCGGAGCUUGCACUGAGCUGAGAUCCGGCCACUGCACUCCAGCCUGGGCGACGCAGCGAGACUCCGUCUCAAAAAAAAAAAAAAACUGCCCGGGACUCCUUUGCUCAAACCCUACCACGACUUCCCAUUUUUUUUUUUAGAUAAAAAAAAAAAACCAACAGGACCUAGCCCCGGGCUGCCUGUCAGACCUCAGCGAGCACGCCAGGCUCUGCACACCGUCUCUCGGAGCAGCCCCGAAGAGGCUGUUCCCACCAGGCUCUAGGACCUCCUCCGGGCAGCUCCCCGCCCUUCACCCCCAAUGAAGGCGCCUCUCCCCAUCACCCCGCAGCGCAGAGCGGUGCAGCAAGCCCAGCCCCGCCGCAUGGCCCGUGCUGGUCUCUGCUCUUCCACCGGCCGCGUGGCUACCGGCGCAGGACGCAUCUGCUGCCGCUUGGUCGCCCCCCCAGAAAUUUGUGCUUCAGGAAAGCGUCACUUUUGCCCACGGCGGCACGCCCGGUCCUAGCACAGCGCAGGCCCUUAACACACAGCACCGAGCGACGAGGCCCGGACUCAGAGGGUUUUGCUUGCCCAUUCGCAGAGCCCUCACCCGGAUCAAAAUCGUAGUCCGCGAUCGCAGCUCGGAGACUCCCGAGAAGUGCGCGCCCCCGCAGCGCCCCGACCCCCGCCCCUCACUAGACUCUGGACUCCUGGCUCCACAUCAGGUCACAC